rnacentral:rRNA from 1 species
GUUAAAAAGCUCGUAGUUGGAUUUCUGUGUUGGUGAGGCGGCCGGCCACUCGUGGUUGUAGCUAGUUAUCACCGGCGCAUCUUGUCACAAGCCACGCUGGCCUUAACUGGUUGGCGCUGGGGACUGACUCGUUUACUUUGAGAAAAUUAGAGUGUUCAAAGCAGGCUAUCGCCUUGAAUAUGUUAGCAUGGAAUAAUGAUAUAGGACUUUGGUUCUAUUUUGUUGGUUGUUCGAGAACCGAAGUAAUGAUUGAUAGUGACAGUUGGGGGCAUCAGUAUUCUGAAGC